AACUUUGCGCAGAGGCAAUAUCGUAACUAAUGAGGUUAAUCCGAGGUGCGAUUAUUGCUAGUUGAAAACUUACUAACCAAGUUUAAUAUGACGUAUUUUUCACAUUAUUGAUACAUA